GUUGCCCGGGGCCCCCCGCGGGGACAAAGCAUCCCGCGCGGGUCGCCGCCCGCGGUUUCCCCUGGGGCCCGCGCGUGGGUGGUUGCUGCGGGCCCGUGGGUUGAGGAGCAUCCUCCGCCUGCCCAGAGAAAAUGGAAGUGGAGCGGUCAGGAAACUGGAGCAGGUGGCCUUUAGUGCCACUCUCCCAGGCGAGGCCGCAGGUUCGGGCAGAGUCCCCCAGGUUAAGGAAGACGCCACAGUCCAGAAACUAGAGCCCUUGAGCUGGGCCAGCAAAGAACAGCAAGAAGUGUUAUGUCGCAGCUCUGCUCAGAGUGACAGCCAUGCGCAGAGGACCAAGCAAUAACUUGUCUCUCAAGACCCAGAGCUCAUCACUCACAGGGGCCAAAGGAGCCCCUGAGCCCGGUCACCCCAAGAAAAGUUUGUAGGAGAAAACACAAUUUGUUCCAAGCAGCUAGCUUACAAACAAUGUUUUGGAUCAUGUCCUGCUUUGCAAACCGAGGCCCAGUUCUCUCAGUAAUGGGCCAGCUCUGGGAGUGCCAAGAGAGAAGCCAUUAGGAGAAAAAAAAAAAAAAGCAAGAAAUCUUUCAGUCCAUUAAGUAAAAAGAGGAUUUUUUAAUCCUUUAUUAUUUAUGAU